rnacentral:lncRNA from 1 species
AGUAUUGCCACCGAGACGGUUGCGGCCCACAGGAUGCCUUCCUGUAAUCUCUAAAGUGAUGGGAAAAGACAAAAACUCCCGGGAUGUGGGCUUCCGGCCAAGUUAUCAAGGCGACUGAACCGACGCGUUCCCUUAAAUGGGUCAACGUCUCUAGGCCCGGGAAAUAAGUGAGGCCCUUUCUCCAGCGGAGCCCCGGGACGGGCCGUCGCUCCCACCCUCUCGCUUUCCUUGGGUUUAGCGCCGCCAGGCCGCCCCCAUCCGGUCCCCCGCACCUUCACAGUCGCCUGGCCGCAGCGCCCGGCUGUCAGGCAGCACGCUCAGGGCCAGCGCUACCGCCAGCCCGCGCGUAGCCCACAUCCUCCUCAGCCGUCUCCACCGCCGCCGCCGCCGCGCGAAUGAACCGCACCCGGCGCGGUGCUCCGCCUAGUGGGCUGGAACAGAAACCUGAGCUUCCCAUUGGUGUGUGGUCCCCGCGCCCACCCAUAUGCUGCAUUCUCAUUGGUCCACGUGCCCAGGAGCCCAGACCGGCGGCUCCACGCUACCCUCCCUCAUUGGCUGCUGCUGUCUGGGACCUAGACAGUUGUCGGUUGCUGAUUGAGCCUGGGCGGUCCAUAGGGGUGCGGGGGAGAAGGUGCACGGGCCGCCAUGUUGGGUAAGGGCAGCUGCUUUGGCUGCUUACCCGGAACCCUCUCAAUCUAUUGACUCGACCCGAAUACCGGGUCUUGGCUCCACACCCACUCCUCCCGACGCCCGGACUCGUAGAGCAGCGUUUCUGGCGCCACCCUAUAGCCAGUAGGAUGGGCGGCUGGAGGAAGGAUCAGAAGCGGUUCCUUGUUUUGAACUACCACGUGGAUUGGCGAGCCAAUCAUGGGGAGCGUCCACUUUGAUUCGCUGGCUGCUCAGACCCCGCUUUAUCCUGGGUCGGACGGCAGAACCUCUUAAACGAAAGGCUCUAGGUCUCCCUAGUUGGCUCCCGUCCUGGGCCUCUGAGGACCUCGCGGCAAGGCUGUGAGCAGAGGCGUUGGUCUAGCUUCCAAAUGGAGGCCAUGGGAUCUUGGGAGGUUUUGUUCUCCACUCUUGGAGACACGAGGAUGGGAACUGGAGACAUUACCGCCUGGACUGCCCUAAUGCUAAGUGCAAGGGCUUUGGCCACUCGCCCAGGAAGGCGGAAUAUGGAGAGCGGCCGACUAAGUGCAGAAAAGUAUCUGGAGCUAAAAGGGCUUGGAGCCCGGCGACAAGGGUUUGAGAGGGGCAUUUAUGCUCCCAUUCAGUGAAAUCAGUGGAUCAAUAUCAGGUAUUUAUCUUUAAUUCACAUCACAGCAGUCAAGGGAUGGGGGUGGGGGGGAGUCAGUUGCCAUAUAUUUACAUCUAAAAGUCACAUUUUUUGUUGGAUUUAUAACAUGCUACCACAAUAUAUACAGUAAAAUGCCUCUUGGGACACUGGCACAAAUUUUUUUCUUUAACUUUCUGGUACAGGUAAGAUCAUUUUAAGUCAGUUUUUCUUUAGACAUGAAUACACAAAAGAAAUGGUUAGAAGUUUUCUUGUUUUAAAUAAGCACAGAAUGCCAGAGGUUAAAAACACAUUUAUAGGGCUUAUUACCAAUUAGACACACUCUAUACAUUUUUUUGCUCAAAUUCCUGUACAAAUACACAGCAUUCAAAUAGGUAUUUACAAAUACGCUUUAAAGAAUGAAAAUCAGUAUUUCACAAUCUUUUCAAAGGAUUCUGAUCUCUGACCUCCCAUUUCCCUCACACUGGCUGGUUUUUCAAUAAAAAGUAUUCAGAAUAGGUCCAUUUCAUCCAGUUAGGGAAAAUGGAGAGAAGUAACACAAAUAUAUUUCACUUUGCAUAAAGCAAGGUCAAGGAACUUAACCCUACAUUCCCCUCCCUACCUCCUGUGCCAUCAAGUGGAGAAGGGAGAUGUCUGCAUGUGAUGACUGGCUGCCUCCGUGGACUGAGGUUCAGACGUGCCUGGAAACAAACCUAAAGCUGCCCUACCUAAGAAUCACAUUGCAAGCUAGACUUUGACCCUCAUACCUGUGAACCCAGACGGUCCAGAAACAAGCUUACCAGUGAGUCUGGGCUCAGGAACAGGUGUGUGUGUCCUUGGAGCUGGGGCUAUUGGAUUGGCCUACCUACACCCUCAACAGUCUCCACUCUGCCUGAGUGAUCCUGAGGCUAUCAGAAAGCCCUACACUGUUGGUACCUGGGCCCCAACAUACUGUGAACGGAAAUGGGCCUUCUUUCUUUUUCUAUAGGUUAUUUGCUGGCAGUUCUAUUAAACUUGUUUCUAAGAG